rnacentral:snRNA from 1 species
GUGCUUGCUUUGGCAGCACAUAUACUAAAAUUGGAGCAAUACAGAGAAGAUGAGCCUGGCCCCUGUACAAGGAUGACACACAAAUUUGUGAAGCAUUCCAUAUUUUU